rnacentral:rRNA from 1 species
ACAUGGGAGCUUGCUCCUGAUGACGAGUGGCGGACGGGUGCGUAACGCGUGGGAAUCUACCUUGUAGUGGGGGAUAGCCCGGAGAAAUCCGGAUUAACACCGCAUAAUCUCUACGGAGGAAAAGGGGCCUCUCCUUGGAAGCUCUUGCUAUUAGAUGAGCCCGCGUUAGAUUAGCUAGUUGGUGAGGUAAUGGCUCACCAAGGCAACGAUCUAUAGCUGGUUUGAGAGGAUGAUCAGCCACACUGGGACUGAGACACGGCCCAGACUCCUACGGGAGGCAGCAGUGGGGAAUAUUGGACAAUGGGCGAAAGCCUGAUCCAGCAAUACCGCGUGUGUGAAGAAGGCCUGAGGGUUGUAAAGCACUUUCAAUAGGGACGAAAUGUUUAGAGUUAAUAACUCUGAGU